rnacentral:rRNA from 1 species
GAUGAACGCUGGCGGCGUGCCUAAUACAUGCAAGUCGAACGCAUAGCGAAAGGUGCUUGCACCUUUCAAGUGAGUGGCGAACGGGUGAGUAACACGUGGACAACCUGCCUCAAGGCUGGGGAUAACAUUUGGAAACAGAUGCUAAUACCGAAUAAAACUUAGUGUCGCAUGACACAAAGUUAAAAGGCGCUUCGGCGUCACCUAGAGAUGGAUCCGCGGUGCAUUAGUUAGUUGGUGGGGUAAAGGCCUACCAAGACAAUGAUGCAUAGCCGAGUUGAGAGACUGAUCGGCCACAUUGGGACUGAGACACGGCCCAA